GACCCUAUAGUUGAUUUACAAUAACAAAUUGCAAAUUUGUAGGUGGGCUUUAUGGCUUCUAGGGUUU
rnacentral:tRNA from 1 species